rnacentral:rRNA from 1 species
UACGAAGGGGGCGAGCGUUGUUCGGAAUUACGGGGCGUAAAGGGCGCGUAGGCGGCGACCCAAGUCAGAUGUGAAAGUCCUGGGCUUAACCUGGGGACUGCAUUUGAUACUGGGUUGCUUGAAUUCGGGAGAGGAUAGCGGAAUUCCCAGUGUAGAGGUGAAAUUCGUAGAUAUUGGGAAGAACACCGGUGGCGAAGGCGGCUAUCUGGACCGACAUUGACGCUGAGGCGCGAAAGCGUGGGGAGCAAACAGG